UUCCUCUUUUAAUUCUACAGGUUAUUCCAAUAUUAAGAGCUGGUCUAGCUCUAGCAGAGCAUGCAUCAUCAAUUUUGCCAGCAACAAAAACAUAUAAUCUAGGGAUGGUCAGAAACGAGGAGACACUUCAACCAUCAAUAUAUCUUAACAAGUGGCACAAUAGUGGCAGCUCUCAACCUGAUAAAGAAAUGUGGGGUUGAGAACAGUCAAAUUAAAGUGGGAUGAUUUUAGAUAUAAAUUCAUGAUAGCCAAUUCUUAUUUUGGAAAGACUAUUGGUGACGAGGGUGAGUACAAGGACAAGAAGAAGAAAGAUAUGUUAUUUGACAAUGAAUAUAGUGUUUUAUUUUAUUUGUAAUUUUUAUUAGAGUAAAGGAUUCUUUUUUGAGUGGUUAAUUAUUUACUUUGUAAAUCUAGAUACAUAUUUUUUAAGGUUAAGGCGAUUAUGUUUAUAGACAA